rnacentral:rRNA from 1 species
CCUACGGGUGGCAGCAGUGAGGAAUAUUGGUCAAUGGGCGCUAGCCUGAACCAGCCAAGUAGCGUGAAGGAUGACUGCCCUAUGGGUUGUAAACUUCUUUUAUAUGGGAAUAAAGUGCAGUAUGUAUACCGCUUUGCAUGUACCUUACGAAUAAGGAUCGGCUCACCUCGUGCCAGCAGCCGCGGUAAUACGGAGGAUCCGGGCGUUAUCCGGAUUUAUUGGGUUUAAAGGGAGCGUAGGCGGGUUGUUAAGUCAGUUGUGAAAGUUUGCGGCUCAACCGUAAAAUUGCAGUUGAUACUGGCAUCCUUGAGGACAGUAGAGGUAGGCGGAAUGCGUGGUGUAGCGGUGAAAUGCUUAGAUAUCACGAAGAACACCGAUUGCGAAGGCGGCCUGCUGGACUGUAACUGACGCUGAUGCUCGAAAGUGUGGGUAGCAAACAGGAUUAGAUACCCCGGUAGUC